GAUGAACGCUGGCGGCGUGCCUAAUACAUGCAAGUCGAGCGAACAGACGAGGAGCUUGCUCCUCUGACGUUAGCGGCGGACGGGUGAGUAACACGUGGAUAACCUACCUAUAAGACUGGGAUAACUUCGGGAAACCGGAGCUAAUACCGGAUAACAUGUUGAACCGCAUGGUUCAACAGUGAAAGACGGUCUUGCUGUCACUUAUAGAUGGAUCCGCGCCGCAUUAGCUAGUUGGUAAGGUAACGGCUUACCAAGGCAACGAUGCGUAGCCGACCUGAGAGGGUGAUCGGCCACACUGGAACUGAGACACGGUCCAGACUCCUACGGGAGGCAGCAGUAGGGAAUCUUCCGCAAUGGGCGAAAGCCUGACGGAGCAACGCCGCGUGAGUGAAGAAGGUCUUCGGAUCGUAAAACUCUGUUAAUAGGGAAGAACAAAUGUGUAAGUAACUAUGCACGUCUUGACGGUACCUAAUCAGAAAGCCACGGCUAACUACGUG
rnacentral:rRNA from 1 species